rnacentral:rRNA from 1 species
UACGAAGGGGGCGAGCGUUGUUCGGAUUUACUGGGCGUAAAGCGUGCGCAGGCGGUUUUGUAAGCCAGAUGUGAAAUCCCCGGGCUUAACCUGGGAAUGGCAUUUGGGACUGCAAGGCUCGAGUGCGGCAGAGGAGACUGGAAUUCCUGGUGUAGCAGUGAAAUGCGUAGAUAUCAGGAGGAACACCGGUGGCGAAGGCGGUUCUCUGGGCAUGUUCUGACGCUGAGGAGCGAAAGUGUGGGGAGCGAACAGG